ACAGAAGAGAAAUCAAGAUAAAAGAAACUUAGGAAAUAUAGAAGUUAGUAAGUGAAUUUUUGAUCUGUUAAGCUUAAUGGUAAUGACAAAAAGAAUGGCGGGUAUUAACAAAGAAAGUUUCGCUGGAGCGGACAGAAUCACUAAAUUAAAUAGUAAUAAUUAUGUUUUGUGGUCAAUCAAGAUGAAGACAUUAUUAACUGGUAAACAAGUUUUUGAUGAUGUGAUUAAUAAAGACGAACCUGUGAAAGAUGAGAAUAAUGAAAGUCAACUGUUAAUAUGGCAAGAAUGGAAAAGAAAGAACGAUAUAGCAUAUGGGUACUUAA
rnacentral:lncRNA from 1 species